AAACUCAGCUGGUGCCGGGACCAGGGUAAUGACGGACGCCCUGUCCCCAGGUGGAGGCUCGCCCUUGCACUCUGGCGGGUCGAAGCCUGUGACGAUUCCUAAUCGGGCUUGCUCGGGCGCGUAGUUUUUACCAGUAGGAAGGUUAUCGGACUAUUCCUU
rnacentral:snRNA from 1 species